CACAAUUCAAAUAUGGACGUCUAUAUUAUGAAGAAAGACGGAGACCCGAAUUCCCAGUACCUAUAGGAAAGGAGUACAGCUAUUACUGUGACAAUGGGUUUUCAACACCUUCAGGGUCAUACUGGGACUACCUUCGUUGCACAGUAAAAGGGUGGGAGCCUGAAGUCCCAUGCCUUAUGCAAUGUGUUUUCCAUUAUGUGGAGAAUGGACAAUCUUCUUAUUGGG